GAGUUUGAUCCUGGCUCAGGAUGAACGCUAGCGGCAGGCUUAAUACAUGCAAGUCGAGGGGCAGCACGGUUAGCAAUAACUGGUGGCGACCGGCGCACGGGUGCGUAACACGUAUACAAUCUACCUUCAACAGGGGGAUAGCCUUUCGAAAGAGAGAUUAAUACCCCGUAACAUAUUUUGCGGCAUCGCAAGAUAUUGAAAGUUCCGACGGUUGAAGAUGAGUAUGCGUUUGAUUAGCUAGUAGGUGAGGUAAUGGCUCACCUAGGCUACGAUCAAUAGGGGAUCUGAGAGGACUACCCCCCACACUGGUACUGAGACACGGACCAGACUCCUACGGGAGGCAGCAGUAAGGAAUAUUGGACAAUGGGCGCAAGCCUGAUCCAGCCAUGCCGCGUGCAGGGAGACGGCCCUAUGGGUUGUAAACUGCUUUUGAACUAGAGAAAACCUCGGUACGUGUACCGAGCUGAUAGUAUAGUUAGAAUAAGCAUCGGCUAACUUCGUGCCAGCAGCCGCGGUAAGACGAAGGAUGCAAGCGUUAUCCGGAUUCAUUGGGUUUAAAGGGUGCGU
rnacentral:rRNA from 1 species